rnacentral:rRNA from 1 species
GAUGAACGCUGACAGAAUGCUUAACACAUGCAAGUCAACUUGAAUUUGGGUUUUUAACUUAGGUUUGGGUGGCGGACGGGUGAGUAACGCGUAAAGAACUUGCCUCACAGCUAGGGACAACAUUUGGAAACGAAUGCUAAUACCUAAUAUUAUGAUAAUAGGGCAUCCUAUAAUUAUGAAAGCUAUAAGCGCUGUGAGAGAGCUUUGCGUCCCAUUAGCUAGUUGGAGAGGUAACGGCUCACCAAGGCGAUGAUGGGUAGCCGGCCUGAGAGGGUGAUCGGCCACAAGGGGACUGAGACACGGCCCUUACUCCUACGGGAGGCAGCAGUGGGGAAUAUUGGACAAUGGACCAAGAGUCUGAUCCAGCAAUUCUGUGUGCACGAUGAAGUUUUUCGGAAUGUAAAGGGCUUUCAGUUGGGAAGAAAGAAAUGACGGUACCAACAGAAGAAGUGACGGCUAAAUACGUG